AUGAACGCUAGCGGCAGGCCUAACACAUGCAAGUCGAGGGGCAGCACAGGUAGCAAUACGUGGGUGGCGACCGGCGGAUGGGUGCGUAACGCGUAUGCAACCUACCAUUGAUUGGGGCAUAGCCCGAAGAAAUUCGGAUUAAUACUCCAUAAUAUUCAUCAAAGGCAUCUUUUAUGAAUUAAAGCUUUUGCGAUCAAUGAUGGGCAUGCGUGACAUUAGUUAGUUGGUGAGGUAACGGCUCACCAAAACGAUGAUGUCUAGGGGUUCUGAGAGGAUUAUCCCCCACACUGGUACUGAGACACGGACCAGACUCCUACGGGAGGCAGCAGUGAGGAAUAUUGGUCAAUGGACGCAAGUCUGAACCAGCCAUGCCGCGUGCAGGAUGACGGCCCUAUGGGUUGUAAACUGCUUUUCCACGGGAAGAACCCUCCGACGUGUCGGAGACUGACGGUACCGUGGGAAUAAGCAUCGGCUAACUCCGUG
rnacentral:rRNA from 1 species